GCCGCUGCACAAUCAGCGGCCGGGUUUGGUCGCCCGAACAGCAAAAGGCGCACAGCGCCGUAAGGCGUUUUUUU
rnacentral:sRNA from 1 species